rnacentral:misc_RNA from 1 species
CUUACUACGAGUUUUGGAGGUUUUAUAUUAAUCCAAUUUCUAGUGCCAAUUCGGCCCAUAGAGUUGGAUCGUGACAAUUAAUUUGAUGGAUUAAUUUCAAGAUUAACAAGAGAUGAAUUAAUGUAAACCCAUGAAAACUUUGACUCAUUGAUAUUGGUUGGACCUAGAUGCAAUGUUAUUGCUAGGAUGUGGGUUAGGAAAUAGCAACGAGAUUUUGG